AGAAACACCAACGCAAGAAGAAGGAAGAAGAAGAAAGGAAAACAGAAAGACACGAAGAAAAAAACCACACCUCGUCAAAUCUAAUUUUAUUUUAGCUCUUCUCUUGGUCCUUUUU
rnacentral:ribozyme from 2 species